rnacentral:ncRNA from 1 species
AGAACUGCAAUGAUUUGGAGGAGUAGUUCUUCUUUGUUUGAUAGAGAGUCCCGUUUGCUGGAAAGGGAUAAAUGAAAAGAGUGAAGGUAGCCAAGGAGCAUGUUAGAUGAAAUAAAGUAGUUUAACACGUAGAACUGCGUUAAAGUUUUAAGGUGCUAAGUUUUAUACUUAGAACUAAGGUGGUAUCGCGAUAUAAGUCGUCCUUAGA